rnacentral:rRNA from 1 species
GAUGAACGCUAGCGAUAGGCUUAACACAUGCAAGUCGAGGGGCAGCACAAGGUAGCUUGCUAUCUGGGUGGCGACCGGCGCACGGGUGCGUAACGCGUAUGCAACUUGCCCUAUACAGGAGGAUAACCCGUCGAAAGACGGACUAAUACUGCGUAUGCUCACAACUUGGCAUCAAGUGGUGAGGAAAGAAAGGCGGUAUGGGAUAGGCAUGCGGGCCAUUAGCUUGUUGGUGAGGUAAAGGCUCACGAAGGCAACGAUGGGUAGGUGGCCCGAGAGGUGGACCGGCGACACGGCGACGGAGAUACGGGGCAGACUCCUAGGGGAGGAAGGAGUGGGGAACAUUGCCCAAAACGCGCAAGCCUGGUGAAGGAACGCCGCGUGUGGGAUUACUGACUUCUUUUUGUAAGGGGCUUUCGACGGUGACGUGGCGUGCCUGACGGUAACGGGUAAAGAAGCACCGGCUAACUACGUG